rnacentral:rRNA from 1 species
UUAACCUAAACUUAUAUUGGAAACAAUAUAACUAAGUAUUGGUUGAUACAACUCUAAAUUUUCAACGAUGGAUGUCUAGGCUCCCAUAACGAUGAAGAACGCAGCGAGAAUGCGAUAUGCAAUGUGAAUUGCAGAACUACGAAUCAUUUGAUCUUUGAACGCAAAUGGCGCUGAUUAAUGUCAGCAUACUUGUUUCAGUGUGCCUAACCAAAUCUACAACAAGAUGUAAGAGAAAAGUCUCUUAUGAAAUAGAUGCUCCAAGUAGCAUUCACAUUUAUAUGUGAGCUAUUCUGGCAGUCAAUCUGUCUUAUUCGCACCUGAAAUCAAGUAAGAUCACCCGCUGGACUUAAGCAUAUUACUAAGCGGAGGAGAAGAAAUUAACUAAGAUUGCCUUAGUAAGGGCGACUGAACCGGCAAAAGCUCGAAAUUAAAAUCGGAAAUUCAAAGAAUUUUCGAAUUGUAAUCAGGGUUGCCUAAAUACGGGAGGCCACUCAAGAGUCUCGAAAGGCUCGCCAGAGAGGGUGAAAGCCCCGUGCAGUGGUCUCUCGAACAAGGUAACUUGCACAAGAGUCGUGUUGCUUGGAACUGCAGCACUAAGUGGGAGAUAUGAUUCUUCCAAAGCUAAAUAUUGAUGGGAGACCGAUAGCGAACAAGUACUGUGAAGGAAAGAUGAAAAGGACUUUGAAAAGAGAGUGAAAAGAUCUGAAANUCGUUGAGAAGGAAGCGGUUAAAACUGAUCGAGGUCAUGAUGGCGCAACGCGGCCAAAAGUCGUGAAGCGUCUACCAAAAACCCUGGACAAAAUGAAUCUCUGCGGGCCAAAAAAGGCGCAAGCCGUGAAGGGUCUGCAGGGAUUGAGGGGCUACG